UCGGGAAUUUUGGGCAAUGGGCGAAACCCUGACCCAGCAACGCCGCGUGAAGGAUGAAGUAUUUCGGUAUGUAAACUUCGAAAGAAUAGGAAGAAUAAAUGACGGUACUAUUUAUAAGGUCCGGCUAACUACGUGCCAGCAGCCGCGGUAAUACGUAGGGACCAAGCGUUGUUCGGAUUUACUGGGCGUAAAGGGCGCGUAGGCGGCAUGACAAGUCACUUGUGAAAUCUCUGGGCUUAACCCAGAACGGCCAAGUGAUACUGUCGCGCUAGAGUGCAGAAGGGGCAAUCGGAAUUCUUGGUGUAGCGGUGAAAUGCGUAGAUAUCAAGAGGAACACCUGAGGUGAAGACGGGUUGCUGGGCUGACACUGACGCUGAGGCGCGAAAGCCAGGGGAGCAAACGGGAUUAGAUACCCAAGUAGUCCCUGAGCGGGCUGGCAAGGCG
rnacentral:rRNA from 1 species